rnacentral:lncRNA from 1 species
CGUGCUAACUAUUAUCUUAGUUAAUGCAGAAUCCAAUAGUGAUUUUUUUUUUAAAAGCCCACUUCCUUAAUCAUCUUUUGUUUGGGUCCGAAGAAGCCUAGUUCUGAUAUGUUGGUAAGAGAAGGGUUGAUACCCUAGGUCAUGCUUCUUCUUUUUCGUUCAUGUCAAUUCAGAUAAAACAAAAAAAAUUAUUUUCAUAAGGCGGCAUAGGUGUAGCGGGCCAUCGGUGUUGUUUGUAGUCUCCGACUUUACGAAUCAUAUUGGUGGAGUCAGAUAUGAGACAUGUAACCCAAGCCUUCUGCAGUGUCUCUUCUGUAGAUCCACGACGGUUCGGGUUUCUUCGAACUUGUAGCGUGGUGGUGGAGGUUAAUCGGUGAUGAGACGCGACAUAGGUGGUGGGACCUGCUUCAGAUAUGAACCGUCUGGCCUCCCAAUACCUGAACAGCCAAACCUCGACGGUGGUGGUAUAAAGGCCGGCUUUCAAUUCAGCAAGGAAAGCGGAGUUACCUUUUUUAUUUCUACAGUUUUUAAAUGGUAAGAAUUAAGAGAAAUAAGCCGAUUAAUUUCAACGAAUGAAACUCACUUAUUUAUAGUUGGAGAUUCACCCUAAAGAAUCAAGGGGUGAUGUUAAUGAGAACCGUAAUUACGACGAUUCCACUUUUGUAACGUUCAGUGAUU